rnacentral:rRNA from 1 species
GAUCAGUUUGGUCCAAAUCAGGAGUUGGAAGACGUUUUUGAGGGCCUAAAUCUUCAUGGGGAGGAGGAGGAGGAUCUUGAUCUAUCAGGGGAGGUAGAGGAGUUGAUUAAGGAGGUUAGAUGGCUGUGCUUAUUUAGGGUUCAUACGAUGAGGCCGUUCAGCCAUGCGGCGGUACUGAACUCGAUGAGGAACGCAUGGUCUUGUGCCCAAGGAGUUACCUUCAAUAUCAAGGGACCGAACCUGUUUUUGGCACAAUGCCAUUGCCUUGGUGAUUGGAAGCGUGUCAUGGAGGGAGGCCCUUGGCAAUUCAGGAGGGAUCUGGUAGUCAUCAUGGAGUAUGAUGGUUUCACUAAUGUCUCUGAAUAUGCCCUGGACAUGUAUCCCAUCUGG